AGGGGUGCAGGGUUUGGCUACUAUAGGGGGUGCAGGGUAUGCCUACUAUAGGAGGUGCAGGGUUUGGCUACUAUAGGGGGUGCAGGGUAUGCCUACUAUAGGGGUACAGGGUAUGUCUACUAUAGGGGGUGCAGGGUUUGGCUACUAUAGGGGUGCAGGGUAUGCCUACUAUAGGGGGUACAGGGUAUGGCUACUAUAGGGGUGCAGGGGUUUGCCUACUAUAGGGGGUGCAGGGUAUGCCUACUGUAGGGGUGCUGGGUAUGCCUACUAUAUGGGGUGCAGGGUGUGGCUACUAUAGGGG
ensembl:lncRNA